rnacentral:rRNA from 1 species
AGAGUUUGAUCCUAGUCUCAGGAUGAACGCUAGCUACAGGCUUAACACAUGCAAGUCGAGGGGCAUCGGGAUUGAAGCUUGCUUCAAUUGCCGGCGACCGGCGCACGGGUGAGUAACGCGUAUCCAACCUUCCGUACACUCAGGGAUAGCCUUUCGAAAGAAAGAUUAAUACCUGAUGGUAUGAUGAGAUUGCAUGAUAGCAUCAUUAAAGAUUUAUCGGUGUACGAUGGGGAUGCGUUCCAUUAGGUAGUAGGCGGGGUAACGGCCCACCUAGCCAACGAUGGAUAGGGGUUCUGAGAGGAAGGUCCCCCACAUUGGAACUGAGACACGGUCCAAACUCCUACGGGAGGCAGCAGUGAGGAAUAUUGGUCAAUGGACGAGAGUCUGAACCAGCCAAGUAGCGUGAAGGAUGAAGGUCCUACGGAUUGUAAACUUCUUUUAUAAGGGAAUAAAACCUCCCACGUGUGGGAGCUUGUAUGUACCUUAUGAAUAAGCAUCGGCUAACUCCGUGCCAGCAGCCGCGGUAAUACGGAGGAUGCGAGCGUUAUCCGGAUUUAUUGGGUUUAAAGGGAGCGCAGACGGGUCGUUAAGUCAGCUGUGAAAGUUUGGGGCUCAACCUUAAAAUUGCAGUUGAUACUGGCGUCCUUGAGUGCGGUUGAGGUGUGCGGAAUUCGUGGUGUAGCGGUGAAAUGCUUAGAUAUCACGAAGAACUCCGAUUGCGAAGGCAGCACACUAAUCCGUAACUGACGUUCAUGCUCGAAAGUGUGGGUAUCAAACAGGAUUAGAUACCCUGGUAGUCCACACGGUAAA